rnacentral:rRNA from 1 species
AAAUGAAUAGACGGGGACCCGCACAAGCGGUGGAGCAUGUGGUUUAAUUCGAAGCAACGCGAAGAACCUUACCUGAUCUUGACAUCCCGCUGCCCGGUCCUGUAACGGGGCCUUUCCUUCGGGACAGCGGUGACAGGUGGUGCAUGGUUGUCGUCAGCUCGUGUCGUGAGAUGUUGGGUUAAGUCCCGCAACGAGCGCAACCCUUGUCCCUAGUAGCCAGCGGCCAGGCCGGGCACUCUAUGGAGACUGCCGGAGAUAAUCCGGAGGAAGGUGGGGAUGACGUCAAAUCAUCAUGCCCCUUAUGACCAGGGCUACACACGUGCUACAAUGGCGUAAACAAAGAGAAGCAACCCCGCGAGGGUGAGCAAAUCUCAAAAACAGCGUCUCAGUUCGGACUGCAGUCUGCAACUCGACUGCACGAAGCCGGAAUCGCUAGUAAUCGCGAAUCAGAAUGUCGCGGUGAAUACGUUCCCGGGUCUUGUACACACCGCCCGU